GUUGACCUCGGAUCAGGUAGGGAUACCCGCUGAACUUAAGCAUAUCAAUAA
rnacentral:rRNA from 50 species